GCAUGAUGAGUAGUUAACCAAUCAAUCCCUAGAAUUACGUCAAAUGCAAGUAUUUUCAAUGAAAUAAGAUCGACAGGUAAUGUGUGGGUACCGAUUUGAACCAAACAAGACUUAUAAACAGUGGAUGUAAUGAAGGUUUCUCCCAAUGGAGUUUCAACAGAUAAGUCAAGGUCCAAUUUCUCUGGAGUCAAAUUUAAACGUUG
rnacentral:lncRNA from 1 species